rnacentral:lncRNA from 1 species
UCCUUACUGGGGAUUUUAUUUUAUUUUAUUUUUUAAGAAAAGCAGGAUUAUUUCUCUGAUGAGAACUACUUUUUGCCUACAGGUCAGAUGAACAGCACAACACACAGCUCUGAACAAUAUCUGAGGCAACUUCAGUGAAGCAUGAUUGGCAGGAAUUAUUUAAUUGGAUAACAACAAGAAGAGAAGAAGAGCAAGAGCUAAGCAAUGUUUUACUUUCAUGGUGCCAAACUGUGGAGUGCAGAAGUCCUUGAGAAACCCUGCCACUGCAAGUCAAACCACAUACUGUUCUGGGACAGAACACAAUGCUUGCCUCUCUUUGGGAGCACUGAUAGAUUACCAAGAGGAUACCCGUUCAAUUCUGAAGAUAGCAUUUAUUAGAGUAGAAUUCCAUUGAUAUUUAUUUCACUUUAAAUUACCUUAGGAACUUAUCCUCCAGCUGCUUCUUUCCACCAAGACGCAACACUAUCUCUUUGACUGUACCGACAAAAAAAAGAAAAAGAAAAAGAAAAAGAAAAAGAAAAAGAAAAAGAAAAAGAAAAAGAAAAGNNNNNNNNNNGAAAAAGAAAAAGAAAAAGAAAAAGAAAAAGAAAAAGAAAAAGAAAAAGAAAAAGCUGGUGAUGCUAUACAGUACAGUAUAACAUUAAAACUUAAAAAAAAUAAAAAUAAAAAAAAAAUCCA